AGUCUCUAUAUCUCCCUGCUGCUAAGACUUCUCAUGCAACAUCGAUGCAAUGUAUUCUAACCAGCCUUUUGGUCGUGUUUGUCCCAGUUUUGUCUGUCAGGCCCAGUAAAGCAUCCUUGAGUGACCAUCCACCUGAUCUCAGUGUGAAUUACUCCAACACACACACAG